ensembl:ncRNA ZK328.10 ncRNA
CGAUGUGUCUUUCUUCUCAAUCUGUUUGUUCUGUGCAAAAGAUACUUGUCAAUGAAUUACCACUGAUCAGCAUGUGGUUAUGAGAAGACAACGCCCAGAUGAUACAUCUAUAUAUUGUUAAAACU